CGCCGCUAUAUUGCGUCUUCUCCAUGAGAAUCCUGAUGAGUCAAUAAACGAAGCAAUGGAAGCUGGAUGGAUGGUUUACCCCAGUCGCUAUGGUAGUCCACGCGUUACAUUUUAUGUUGCCCAUAGGGUUUUCCGUAAGGGCGAGGAAAAAGACUGCGUCGACCUAUCUUGUAAAGAUUUUAUUCAAGAAGGAAAAGAAUACUAUACAGGAAUGCCAAUUCCUGGUAUUUCUGCAUAUGAUGGUGCACAA